rnacentral:rRNA from 1 species
AGAGUUUGAUCCUGGCUCAGAUUGAACGCUGGCGGUAUGCUUAACACAUGCAAGUCGAACGGAAACGAUACUAGCUUGCUAGUAGGCGUCGAGUGGCGGACGGGUGAGUAACGCGUAGGAAUCUGCCUGAUAGUGGGGGAUAGCCCGGAGAAAUUCGGAUUAAUACCGCAUAAUCUAUUCGUAGUAAAGUGGGGGACUUUCGAGCCUCACGCUAUCAGAUGAGCCUGCGUAAGAUUAGCUAGUUGGUAGGGUAAAAGCCUACCAAGGCGACGAUCUUUAGCUGGUCUGAGAGGAUGAUCAGCCACAUCGGGACUGAGACACGGCCCGAACUCCUACGGGAGGCAGCAGUGGGGAAUAUUGGACAAUGGGGGCAACCCUGAUCCAGCAAUACCGCGUGUGUGAAGAAGGCCUGAGGGUUGUAAAGCACUUUCAAUUGUGAAGAAAAGUUAGCGGUUAAUAACCGUUAGCCUUGACGUUAACUUUAGAAGAAGCACCGGCUAACUCCGUGCCAGCAGCCGCGGUAAUACGGAGGGUGCAAGCGUUAAUCGGAAUUACUGGGCGUAAAGCGUGCGUAGGCGGUUUAUUAAGUCAGAUGUGAAAGCCCCGGGCUUAACCUGGGAACUGCAUUUGAAACUGGUAAACUAGAGUAUGGUAGAGGAAAGUGGAAUUUCUGGUGUAGCGGUGAAAUGCGUAGAUAUCAGAAGGAACAUCAAUGGCGAAGGCAGCUUUCUGGACCAAUACUGACGCUGAGGUACGAAAGCGUGGGUAGCAAACAGGAUUAGAUACCCUGGUAGUCCACGCCGUAAACGAUGAUAACUAGCCGUUGGGGGGAUUUACCCUUUAGUGGCGAAGCUAACGCGUUAAGUUAUCCGCCUGGGGAGUACGGCCGCAAGGUUAAAACUCAAAGGAAUUGACGGGGACCCGCACAAGCGGUGGAGCAUGUGGUUUAAUUCGAUGCAACGCGAAGAACCUUACCUGGUCUUGACAUCCUGCGAACUUUCUAGAAAUAGAUUGGUGCCUUCGGGAACGCAGUGACAGGUGCUGCAUGGCUGUCGUCAGCUCGUGUCGUGAGAUGUUGGGUUAAGUCCCGUAACGAGCGCAACCCCUAUCCUUAUUUGCCAGCACAUCAUGGUGGGAACUAUAAGGAGACUGCCGGUGAUAAACCGGAGGAAGGCGGGGACGACGUCAAGUCAUCAUGGCCCUUACGACCAGGGCUACACACGUGCUACAAUGGGAAGGACAAAGAGCCGCGAAGCCGCGAGGUGUAGCUAAUCUCAUAAACCUUUUCGUAGUCCGGAUUGGAGUCUGCAACUCGACUCCAUGAAGUCGGAAUCGCUAGUAAUCGUAGAUCAGAAUGCUACGGUGAAUACGUUCCCGGGUCUUGUACACACCGCCCGUCAUACCAUGGGAGUGGGUUGCACCAGAAGUGGCUAGUCUAACUUAGUGAGGACGGUCACCACGGUGUGAUUCAUGACUGGGGUAAAGUCGUAACAAGGUA